GAACGCGAAGAACCUUACCUGGGCUUGACAUGCACCGGAUCGCUGCAGAGAUGUAGUUUCCCUUGUGGCUGGUGUACAGGUGGUGCAUGGUUGUCGUCAGCUCGUGUCGUGAGAUGUUGGGUUAAGUCCCGCAACGAGCGCAACCCUUGUCUUAUGUUGCCAGCAUUUGGUUGGGGACUCAUGAGAGACUGCCGGGGUUAACUCGGAGGAAGGUGGGGAUGACGUCAAAUCAUCAUGCCCCUUAUGUCCAGGGCUUCACACAUGCUACAAUGGUCGGUACAACGCGCAGCUACUUCGUGAGGAGGCGCUAAUCGCUGAAAGCCGGUCUUAGUUCGGAUUGGGGUCUGCAACUCGACCCCAUGAAGUCGGAGUCGCUAGUAAUCGUAGAUCAGCAACGCUGCGGUGAAUACGUUCCCGGGUCUUGUACACACC
rnacentral:rRNA from 1 species